UCGGCCAUCUUUUGUGUUUCAUCAGUCU
rnacentral:piRNA from 1 species